rnacentral:tRNA from 1 species
GGACAGGUGUCCGAGUGGUUGAAGGAUCUGGUCUUGAAAACCAGCGUGCGAGCAAUCGUACCGUGGGUUCGAAUCCCACCCUGUCCGCCA